GAUGAACGCUGGCGGCGUGCCUAAUACAUGCAAGUCGAGCGAACGGACGAGAAGCUUGCUUCUCUGAUGUUAGCGGCGGACGGGUGAGUAACACGUGUAUAACCUACCUAUAAGACUGGGAUAACUUCGGGAAACCGGAGCUAAUACCGGAUAAUAUUUUGAACCGCAUGGUUCAAAAGUGAAAGACGGUCUUGCUGUCACUUAUAGAUGGAUCCGCGCUGCAUUAGCUAGUUGGUAAGGUAACGGCUUACCAAGGCAACGAUGCAUAGCCGACCUGAGAGGGUGAUCGGCCACACUGGAACUGAGACACGGUCCAGACUCCUACGGGAGGCAGCAGUAGGGAAUCUUCCGCAAUGGGCGAAAGCCUGACGGAGCAACGCCGCGUGAGUGAUGAAGGUCUUCGGAUCGUAAAACUCUGUUAUUCGGGAAGAACAUAUGUGUAAGUAACUGUGCACAUCUUGACGGUACCUAAUCAGAAAGCCACGGCUAACUACGUG
rnacentral:rRNA from 1 species